rnacentral:rRNA from 1 species
UACGAAGGGGGCUAGCGUUGUUCGGAAUUAUUGGGCGUAAAGAGCUCGUAGGCGGCUUGUCACGUCGGUUGUGAAAGCCCGGGGCUUAACCCCGGGUCUGCAGUCGAUACGGGCAGGCUAGAGUUCGGUAGGGGAGAUCGGAAUUCCUGGUGUAGCGGUGAAAUGCGCAGAUAUCAGGAGGAACACCGGUGGCGAAGGCGGAUCUCUGGGCCGAUACUGACGCUGAGGAGCGAAAGCGUGGGGAGCGAACAGG